AAUCCAUAGGUUAAUGAGGCGAACCGGGGGAACUGAAACAUCUAAGUACCCCGAGGAAAAGAAAUCAACCGAGAUUCCCCCAGUAGCGGCGAGCGAACGGGGAGGAGCCCAGAGCCUGAAUCAGCAUGUGUGUUAGUGGAAGCGUCUGGAAAGGCGCGCGAUACAGGGUGACAGCCCCGUACACAAAAGCGCAUGUGCUGUGAGCUCGAUGAGUAGGGCGGGACACGUGGUAUCCUGUCUGAAUAUGGGGGGACCAUCCUCCAAGGCUAAAUACUCCUGACUGACCGAUAGUGAACCAGUACCGUGAGGGAAAGGCGAAAAGAACCCCGGCGAGGGGAGUGAAAAAGAACCUGAAACCGUGUACGUACAAGCAGUGGGAGCACCCUUUGGGGUGUGACUGCGUACCUUUUGUAUAAUGGGUCAGCGACUUAUAUUCUGUAGCAAGGUUAACCGUAUAGGGGAGCCGCAGGGAAAC
rnacentral:rRNA from 1 species